rnacentral:ncRNA from 1 species
UCGGGAAUGAAGUUCUCCCUUAGCCUUUGCUAGAACCGCUUUUCAGCUGAUGACUUCUGCAUU